GUUCAUACCGCCAUCUACUUCUCUAUUUUCAUAGUUAUAAUUUUCAUUAGUCAAAGAAUGUCGAGUUAGUUGCUGAAUGGGUUAUUAUAUUGGAAAUGCAGAUAUAUUAUAUCUCAUAUAAAACCAUAAUAGUAUAAUGGAAGAAACAUCUUCGCAGGAUAAAAUUUGUAAACUUAGAUAUUUGCAGAGGAAAAAGACGAUAUGGUGUGAAAAACAAAUGGUUGUUAUAUAUUUAUUACAUAUAGCUAUGAUAUAGUAACAUGCAUAAAUGCUUAUCAUUAAUCUUUAUUUGUUCUAGGGAAAAUGUGUAAAUAUAAGGAGAUAGGUUAGAAUUAAAUUCAGUUUAAAACAAAAAAAUUGGAAAAGAGAAAGCGGGACAUAUACAUCGUGAUUAAUACAAGGAUCACUCGGGAAAUCUUCGUGCAUUAGAGUUUUUCUAUGACGGACAAGUACAAAUAUCAGUGUGCACCAUCGUUGAUACCGUCGUAUUUCAUCAAGCAUCCGACAUCCUACAUGAAAUACAAAAUACCUUCAAUCCUUUUACAGAUUUACAAAAAGAUAAAUAGGAGGAAUAACACCUUUACAUACUCGACUUUAUAUUUUUUGCAAUUGUUCAAAUUUACACACACACAAAGAAACUUAUACAUAUAUUUAUAAGCGAUAUCUUAUAUAAAAAUAUUACAUACAUCGAUAUCAUCUCAAGUCUUACGAACGAUCAGUAUCUAAAUCGAAAAGAGUGAGCAGUCUAAUAUCCUCGCAACGAAUCGUUCAAAUUCUUGAGGCGAAAUGCUUCGAUCUACGGAGAAAUCCAUUUCAGAUAUCCUCUACGGAAUUGAACACAGGGUGAGUAUCUUUCUCAACGAGAAACUUUAGAGUACCGUUCGAUCAUGGUUUAAAUUUUCUAUUAACUUAAAUGAAACUUUAUACAGAAUAUUUUACGAUUGUAAAAAAGUAAAACAAAAGAGGUUCAAAUAAUACGAACCAACGCCUAUUCAAUGAAUUUCGAAGCUAAUAUAGCAUUCUAUUACUGUCACCGAAAUUCUCAUACGAGUCCUGAAACCGGAUUGUUUAACACACUGUAUCAAGCAAGGAUUCAUCGACAUUUACUAUAUCUGCCAGUAGUACAGGACGUUUGCGAUCAAUCCCAUUCUUGAUCUGUCAAUUUUCGUUAAGGCCUGUCAAUCUUUGGACGGCCUCAAUUAAAUCGGCGAACGGGCGAGUUGAUCGUCGUCGUCGAAAUCUGAAAACGAAUAUGUUAAACGAGUCAAGCUUGUUUAUAAUCGAUAUAACGUUUGACUCGUGCGUCGUUAUAAGUUUCUCGACGUAGUGCGUCGUAUAGGUGUAAAUGGAACGUUCCGUGAGACGGAAGUACAUCGAACUUAUCUAAAUUGAGUCCUCGUAGUACCACCGCAGUUAGAUUAGUCUCUCCUGCAUAUAGAUCUGUCCGUCUGUCCGUACAUUCAUCCUGUCUGUCUGUUCGUUCAUCCGUCCGUCCGUUCGUCCACUCGUCCGUCCGUCCGUCCGUCUAUCUGUCCAUUCUUCGGUCCGUCGGUCCGUCCGUCCGUCGUCCGUCCGUCGUCCGUCCUCACUAUUCACUACUGUUACCGUAGGAACUAACGUGUCACUGCAUGCACCGUGAAAUUAAAUGAUCUCGAUUAACAGAAUCGGUCGGAGUACGCGUUCAUCGCCGCUGGUGAACAAAAGUGGAUUUUCGACAAUCUCUUGGGAAAAUAUUCCUCCCCUUUUUUUUGCAAUCCAUGCAAUUAUUUAACGUUUCGAUCUCUCGAAAAUAUCCGUGCUUGCAAUCUCUCAAACGAACGAACGGUCAAAGUAUACAAAAGAAUAAGGACGCACACAAACGAAAUUUUAACGAUGUAUACUGUAGAUGCAAAGAAAAAAGAAAAGAAUGACGAACAAAUGAGAACGCGUUAGGUGUUUCAGUCUUCUUUGACAAAUAUCAGCAAAUUGAGUAAAUCUUCGGAGCAUGAUUAUAUAUGAAAGCGGAGUCACGUAUUCUUCAAGUUCAAGCAUUCGUUAUACUCUAAAUAAAACACCCGAUAUAUCGAAUAGGAUGAAGGAUCGUGGUGAAAAUGCGACGGAACUUCUAAAUCAUUAUUACAUUUACCACUGGUUGGCACUUUACCUUUCUUGUAUAUAUAGGAAAUAUACAAACAUGUACUAUAUAUAGUAUAUAUACUCACACACACGAUUUAAAGCUACUUCCUUCAUGGUCUAUUUUAUUUUUGAUACCGAUAAAUCGUCUGGCAGUACACGCACAUGAAGUUUCACUUAAAGCAAGUCGGUACGGUCACGAUUCCAGACAUAUGUAAUAUCGUUAAAUCUACGAUCUAUCGUUAGAUGUCUUGAAACUACGUGGAAGUCCCAAACGACUUUUCAAAUAUUAGAAUUCUUUCUUUUCUUUAUUUUGUGAAUGAUCGAUCGUAUAACGAAGAUUUAUUCGUUUUAAGCUUUUCAUUAUCGAUGUCCAUUCAACAAUACGCGUCGCUAUUUUUUUUUGUCGAGCAUACGUUGAAACAGCAAUAUCGUUGCGACUCUCAGAGCUUUAUAUUGUUCGUAAUGAAAAAAAAAUAUAUAAUAGUUCUUAUAUGUAUAUAUAUAUAUAUUUUUUUUUUAAUCGAACAGAAUCUACAUAUAUCGCCAUUCGACAGAGAUACGAGCGUUGUUAUAUCGUCAAGCUGACAAUCAUGAAUAUGUCCAGUGAUUGACGCCAACCGAGUUAAAUAAACUAGAUGUUAUAUAGAUAAAUUUUACAUUUAUCUUCGAUUUAGCCUGUCAGAAAAUUUAUUGGUUUUUAAAAAUCAAAUAGGUCAUAUAUCUGUGAUAAAUCGUACGAAUUUGCGGCAAUAUUUGAUCCGUUUAUUUGUUUCUUCAUAAUGCUAUAAUACGAAUUCUCGUGCAAGAUUUCUGGCGUCGGAUCGCGAUCGUAAACGCACGACUGGAUCGUCUUUCAUUAUCUCAUAUAUUUUAAGUACGUAUAAGACUACAGUCAUCAAUCUUCAUCUGCCCGCGAGUAAUUUAAUUAGUUCACGUUUUCCGCCGUAUAAAUAUUCUCGUAUGUAGGAAGGUAUAUAUCUUAGAGGUUCAUUGCUUCGGCCACCCUCUAAAAUAAAUGCAUAUUCAUGAUACGCAUAAACAAGGGAAGACUAACGGAUGUAUAAAUACAUUCAACUUACGUAUUUGUAUAUCCACAUUCGAGGCACAUCUACUGAUACACAAAGACAAUUGAAACUUUUAAGAGAUUCAUUUUGCAGUUAAGUACCGUACAACGUGGCACGUAAAUGAUUAAGUCGAUUAUACGAGGAAUGCCUGGAAUUUCGGUGCGAGGUUUAAUUAGAUCAUCAAUGAGUACGAUCGGCGAUUGGAAAACGAUCGGUGCCCGGAGGGAAGUGCCUUUAUCGAGGGAUGAUAAACUGUAUUCGAGUAUAUUCUCAAAUUGAUUUUUAUCCAAUCCCAAAUUCGAUAAACGUUUCGCGAAUAUUGUUAAAAAUAGUAACAUCGUGGAUUAGUGCGUGCCAAAGUAAAAAACUGGUUAAUAUUUAAUGAACGUGGAUUUAUGAGUUUCGAUUAAUCGUGUUAAUAUUAAAAUAUAAUAUUACAACUUUCCGGUUGUACCAAUCGUAAACGUGGAUAUCCCAUCGUAGUUGCUCGAAAUUAUUUUCCCUCGCUGAAUUUUACACUUCCUAAGGACAUUAAAAGAGUUUAUUGAAGAAUAAUAAAUAAAAAAUUGUAUACGACAUGAAAUAUCCGAACAACAUGGUACGAAUUAAUAUAUCUGUCACGAUACUCGGCGGAUUACGGAUUGCGAUCACCAUAAAUAUAUAAAUUUGAAAGGA